rnacentral:lncRNA from 1 species
GGUGCCCCUGCCAACUCCGAGCGUCCUCCGCGCUGGUCCUUGCCAUCUUCAGUCCCCCUAUUCCUCUCCAAGGGGUUUCCUCGCCAGGUCCUCCACCCCGGAGGCCAUCCUCAAGAGGAUGCCAAGGGCUUGGAGGAAGGCAAGGAGGAGAACGGCGGUCUGCGAGUUCAUCGGUCAUCGAGCGGCCACUGAAGGUCCCCGUCGCUUCAAAGGGGGCUCGAGGAAGAAUUCCUUCAACAACAGGGGUUUAAUAAUGGGGACUGCCGGUAAAGGCGUUCUGCCUGAG